GAUGAAGAACGUAGCGAAAUGCGAUAAGUAAUGUGAAUUGCAGAAUUCAGUGAAUCAUCGAGUCUUUGAACGCACAUUGCGCCCCCUGGUAUUCCGGGGGGCAUGCCUGUCCGAGCGUCAUUGCUGCCCUCAAGCACGGCUUGUGUGUUGGGCCCCCGCCCCCCGGCUUCGGGGGGCGGGCCCGAAAGGCAGCGGCGGCACCGCGUCCGGUCCUCGAGCGUAUGGGGCUUCGUCACCCGCUCUGUAGGCCCGGCCGGCGCCCGCCGGCGACCCCAAUCAAUCUUUCCAGGUUGACCUCGGAUCAGGUAGGGAUACCCGCUGAACUUAAGCAUAUCAAUAAGCGGAGG
rnacentral:misc_RNA from 1 species